AGCCUGGGCAACAGAGCGAGACCUCUUCUCUACUAAAAAUAAAAACCGAGUUGAUUGUGCGGGCACAUGCCUGUGGUCCCAGCUACACUGGGGGCUGAGGGAGGAUCACUUGAGCCCAGGAGGUCGAGGCUGCAGUGAGCCAUGAUCACACCACUGCACUCCUGGGCAACAGAAUGAGACCCUGUCUCAAAAAAAAAAAAAAGUGCAAUCAUGAAGGGAAAGAGUCCCCACCCCACGUACCACAUACAUAGGGCUUUUUGUUCUACUUCCAAGUAUAUUCUCUGAGACAGUGGGGGGUGUUUAGAUUUCACAGACAAUAUAAAUGUUUUUAACCGAGGAACCCAAAUGGGUUCUCCACUUUAUUUUGCUUAGACAAAGUUUUCAUGCCAUCUCUUAUGAGAAAAACUUAACAUGAUCAUAGAAUCUAGACGGUAGGUCUGAGGGUUCACCAUCCGAUUCUUUCCAAAUCCGAUUCUUUCCAAGUUUUGGAAACUCUUCAUAUUAAAAUGUUAAAAACACACUAGAAUUGCUGUCAGAUAAGUAGAAGUCCUCAUCCUCCAAAAAGGAAGGAAAUGCUCUUUAGAAUAUUUUAAUGGGCAGAUUAAUUUAGGCAACACUCACCUAAUUGCCCUGGUUUUCUUCCAUCCUUUGCAGUCAGAUGCAAAUCUCACAAAGGACUGGGGCAGGGAAUGCUUGGGGACCUCCCCCUAAACAAGACCAGGAGGCUUGGCUUGGCUUUCAGACGUCAAGGAACCCCCAGUUAGCAGGCCCAAUGCUCAAUUUCUGACUGGUCUCCCUCAAUCUUUCUAGACAGGCAAGGUGUGGAGCGCAAAAAUGUUCAAUGCUUCAAUAGAUGCCCCUCCCCUUAUGGGUUGGUCUGCUGCAUUAACAAAUUGAAAUGGGAGAGAAAAAUCAAAAAGAAGGCAGCA
rnacentral:lncRNA from 10 species